CACCAGACUCCUACGGGAGGCAGCAGUGGGGGAUAUUGCACAAUGGGGGAAACCCUGAUGCAGCGACGCCGCGUGGGCGAAGAAGUAUUUCGGUAUGUAAAGCCCUAUCAGCAGGGAAGAAGAAAUGACGGUACCUGAGUAAGAAGCACCGGCUAAAUACGUGCCAGCAGCCGCGGUAAUACGUAUGGUGCAAGCGUUAUCCGGAUUUACUGGGUGUAAAGGGAGCGCAGGCGGCACGGCAAGCCUGAUGUGAAAGCCCGGGGCCCAACCCCGGGACUGCUCUUGGAACUGCGUGGCUAGAGUGCAGGAGGGGCAGGCGGAAUUCCUGGUGUAGCGGUGAAAUGCGUAGAUAUCAGGAGGAACACCGGUGGCGAAGGCGGCCUGCUGGACUGCAACUGGCGUUGAGGCCCGAAAGCGUGGGGAGCAAACAGGAUUAGAUACCCGUGUA
rnacentral:rRNA from 1 species